AUCAGUCUGAAGCAGGCCUCGGUUACCUUGCAGAUUGGAGUAGUAGUUACUGUCAAAGGCAUCAGGUGUUGUGAGAUCAAGAUCUGUUAUCACACUCCCAUUUCCACCUUGGGGACAUAAUUCCUGAAGAGCUGCUAGAAGAGUUGUGUCCAUUGAUGGGUCAGGAGCACCGGUUCUGUUGAAAUCAAACAAUCGGAAGUCGAAUGUAGAACAUUUUGCCCUUCCAAAUGUGUGAGCACCUGAGAAGAUAAAAAGGAAAUUACAUCAAAGGAGAAUCAAUUAUAACAGAGUUUUACAGUUUAGAGUUGAGCCUGCAAAUAAUACUUACCAGAUAGAGCUACCAAAUCACUAUUAUUAUUAAGGCUGACAUUAGUGAAGCUCUCUCUGAGUUGAUCAAGGGUGAGAGAAGGGGCCGGAAGGAAAGCAUUUGCUGCAUCUCGGCUUGCUGUUGUACUAUCUCUUCUUCCUAAUGGAACUGUCCAAUUUGGACCUCCUGCCUGCAACCAUGCAUAGUUAGGGGAUUACUACUUUUCAACUCUAAACUUAUUUCUAUCUCAACUACUUCUGUCCAAACCGUCAUAAAGUCAUGUAAAAAAUUAAGUAAAUCUCAGCUUCUUUCUUUCAUUCAAUUAUGAUAAACUAUGAUAUUUGUGUUCUACGUUCUUUGACUAGAAUUAGACAACAAGAGAUCUAUUUUAUAUUUUGGGGGGGUUGAGGGAUCAUUUUAAGAUACCAAGACAACAGAUUCUUCAGCUGCAAUAGUGAGUAUAUCAGCACAGGAAACAGUAGCAGGACAGGCACUCUCCAACAAAGCCUUCAUUCUAUCAACAACUUCAAAACCUCUUGCAGAGUUGUUGUUCCCUCCGGCUUCCUUUUCGCUCACUAUAGUAUCAGUAUUGUCCAACAAAAGCGAACCAUCACAGCCCUGAAAAUAAAAUAAAAAACUUGAGAAUCACAACUUAGAUAGACGGUUUAAUAUAAUUAAGCAAUAUAAGAUGUUUCAAAGCAAUUACAUUAACAAAGCAGUCAUGGAAGUGGAGCCUGAUGAGGCUGGCUCCAAUCCGAGGAUCGGAUACCAAUGUCUCCGUAAUGACAUUACGGAUAAUGCUGCUCACAUUUGGACAUGUCUGGUCAUAAAAUGUUGGAGUAAGCUGGCCAUGAGCCAAUGUUCCUCCAAGCAAAACUACAAAGAAAAAAGUUGCAACUAUAGCCUUAGAAAGAUGCAUUUUUCUCCAAUUUCUCCUAUGAAAAUGUUUUUGUCAAUGUUAAAACUUGCAUGGGAACCCAACGUUAACGAUGUUACAGUUUAUAUAGUGAUAAAGAGGUUUGGAAGCUAAGACGCGGUUCUUUGAAUAGUAGGCAUACUUGCUUCUGAAGAUUCUUGUGCAAAGUUAUUGCACGUUGAAAGACUGUUCAGUUAUCUCUUAACCAAAAUAUCCCUCAUCUCCUCUCUUCCUUGAGCUCGCUUACCCAUCUCCCCUUGUUUCCAUCAACAAUUCAUGAUUUCCGCAGACAUCUUCACUCCUUCAAACUUAAGACAUUGCAAGCCGGUUAUAUUAUGUCCUGGUAAUUUGAUUUUGAGUGAAAUUUUGCUUAACAUGCCAACAAUUUUUAUUAUUGAAUCACCAAAAUUACAUGGUUAGUAAGGAUGGAAUAUUUUUUUUCUCAUUUAUUGUAUUCUUAAAGAGGUUUGUAAGAUGAUGCAAUGGAUUGUGGUCCUUGUGGAUUUGAUAAUUCCGCAUCUCUGCAUAUAUUAGUUUAACAAGAAGGAAGUCUGAAAUUGAAAAACUAAAAAUUCAAACUAAAAUAAUGUGGACAGAGACUAUGUGUUAGUUUUCAAAAUAUUCAUAUUGAAACACAUUUCUAUUAGUUUUGUAAUUCCGUUUUUGUCUUUUCUUUUCUUUUUUACAUCUUACGUGUACCUCGACUAAUCUCACAGACCUUUAAGUUAAUGAUCAUAAAAGCUGCUAGUAACCCUGAGGUUUAUGAAACUCAAACUAGAAAUCUUUAAAAAAUAAAUUUAAAACCUGACUAGUUGAACUCCCAUCAAAAUUAAUUUUUUUUUUUAUAUUGCUAGGUUGCUGUCAUAGGAGAGGUAAUCCUUGGUCAACCCUUUAUAUUUUAGUAGCUGUGCCUCGUACAUUGGGACUCUUGUAGUAUUAACGUUCCCUAUUUUAUGUGAUGCCAGGAAUCGGGGCUAUGAAUUGGGACUUAUUAUUUUUAUUUUCUUCAACUUCACCAAAAGAGUUAAUUAAAACUUCUUCUAAUAGCCAAUUCAUUGAAGUACAAUGCGAGCGGCAAAUACGAUAUUGACAGAAGCAUGCAUGGAGAUUUUCAUGCUGUGGGUGGUCACAUAUAAUUUUCUCACAUUUUUUAAGCAACAGUAGCACUAGAAUGCCACGAGAAAAUAUUGGUGUUCACAAAAUCAGAGGUUUUUCUGUCACAAUCGUACUUUUAACUAGGUUGUAGAUUGCCUAGCCAUUUGAUGACAUGACUUUACACAUGGUAUUGACAAAACGUUUCUUGUUCAUCACUACUCUUGUAAAGUAGGAGCAGCCAGCUGACCUGGGAGUAAAACUAGACCCAAGAAUUCUGUUACUCCGAUAAGAAGAGAAAAAAAGGAAAAGGGAAAAAGUAAAAAGUAAAAAAGGCCAAAGCACAAAUGAGGGAUUCGAUAAAAAGAGAAAAAAAGUAAAAAAGGAAAAGGUGAAAAGGAAAAAGCUCAAACGAGGGAUUCGAAUCCCUCGUUUGAGCUUUUUCCUUUACCUUUUCCUUUUUUACUUUUUUUCUCUUCUUAUCGGAGUAAUAGAAUUCUUGCGUCUGGUUUUACUUCCAGGUUACCUGGGGGAGCUAGAUUUGGGUUUAGUUUUUUUAAUCUUUCAUCACAUUAAAAUAAUUUUAAAAAAUUAAUUUAAAAUUAAAAAAAUUAAAAAUUUUCAAUAUUUUUUAAAAGCAUUUUUAAAACGUAAAUGCUUUAAUGAAAAUUCAACUCAAUCUUAAAUGAAAAAAAAUAUCAUCACCCAAUUUUUAUACAAUAUAAAAAAAGUCAUAUUAUUUUAUUUUUUCUUUACAGUAUGAAAAAAAAAUUCAAUAAGAGAAGAAAAAAAAUUAAAAAUAUCUUAAAAGGAAAAAAAAUAAAAUGAAAAAAAUUAGUUGCUGGUGUAUUGGACGCUUCCCUGCUAUGUGUUAUUCAUGGUGCUACUAUAAAAAAUAUUUUAUUUGAAUAUGGUGAUGAUACAAAUACAUUCCAUGCUUUUAACCCAACUCAAGCAUUUUUACAUUUUAAAAAAAUAUUAUUAUUGACCCGCUGCGGAGUACGGGACAAUAUGUUACCUAUCAUAUUAUUACAUAAUGGUUAUUUAAAAAAAUAUAUUGAGAUAAUAUUUUUUUAUUUUUUAAAAUUAAUUUUUUAUAUCAUCACAUCAAAAAAAUAUAAAACAUCAAAAAAUAUUAAUUUGAAUUAUAGAAAAAAAAUUUAAUUUUUUAAAGCUUUUUUAAACGUAAAAACAAAUAUGCUUUAAUAAAGAAAUUCAACUCAACCUCAAAUGAAAAAAAAAAUAUCAUCACCCAACUUUUGUACAAUAUAAAAAAAAUCUCAUCAAUUUAUUUUAUAAAAUAUCAAAAAAUAUUAAUUUGAAUUAAAGAAAAAAAAUUUAAUUUUUUAAAGCUUUUUUAAACGUAAAAACAAAUAUGCUUUAAUAAGGAAAUUCAACUCAACCUCAAGUGAAAAAAAAAAUAUCAUCACCCAACUUUUGUACAAUAUAAAAAAAUCUCAUCAAUUUAUUUUCUUUUUACCGUAUGAAAAAAAAUUAAAUAAGAGAAAAAAAAAAUCUAAAAAGACAAAAAAAUAAAAUUAGAAAUAUCUGACGGCCUAGCCAAACCCAAUAGCGUUGGGUCAGGGUGCCCAGCUAAACCCAAUAGCGUUGGUUCCAGCUGUCUUAUUAAACCCAAGAUCGAUAGGUCUGGUUGGAAGCUGGAUCCAACAACAUUAGAUUUGAUAACCAAGUUAGAUCCAACAAUAUUUUUUAAUUAAAAAACAAAAAAGAUAAUGCUUCCAUACGUGUCAUCCAUAAUAUAAACACUUUAUCUAUACAAUAUAAUUUACAGUAUAACAAAUCUAUAUUCACCGUACACGCACAAUAUUUUUUCCAUUACUUAUAAAAUAUAGUAUACUUAAUGGGAAAGAAAUCACUCAUGGUGAUAAUAAGGUAACCUGGAUCGAAUCUUGUUCGUACCAAAACAAGAUGAGAAAGAUUCUGAGGAAUAAAGUUAUCUUUCACCGUUUGAACGACAAGAAUAAAUGAAUAUUUUCACUUAUCGUACAUCUCUUUUUUUUUUAAAAAAAAAAAAAAAACUAAGUCCUGGCUUACAGGCUUGUGCUUCAAGGCUUCUCAACAUUUCGGGUUUUUCAUUGCAGAGUUAGGCCUCUUAAGUCUAGGUCUAUUAGGGUUUUUUCAGGGUUAAGUAUGAAUUUAAAAUAAAAAAUUUAUUGAAUCUAAUUGUGUUGAUAUUUUAAAUCACAAGUUUAACAAGUUAAGCCAUAAUAUUUACACUAUUUUUUUUUUAAUUUGAUAUUUUUAACUAAUAUAUUUUUUAAUAUAUUCUAAAUUUAUAUUUCAAUUAAUAUCAUUCAUCUUUGAUUUUAUUUUUGUUUAUUUAACAUUUUUUAGAUUUAUGGUAUUUUGCGUAAUUAAUUUUUGAAAAGAUUAUUUUGAAUCAUUUAUAAUUUUUUAAUCUUUUGUAUACAAGAAAUUUAUUUUUGAAAAUAAAAAAAAAACUUUCAGAUAAUAUUUCUAAUAUGCAAAACGUUGCAUGAUAUUUUUUCACUUUUAUUUUAUUUAAUCAAUUUAAUAUAUGUUUCUAUUUUUAAUAUCAAAUCAAUUUAAAUAAAUUUAGUUAACACAACCAAAUAAAUGUCUUGUCAUGCAAGAUUAAAUAUCUUGAUCUAUACUUGUCUUUUUAUUUGUAUUUUUAGUUAUCAGUUAAUAAUUUUUUUAUUUAUUAACAUAUAUAAUUUUCAAUUUAUUUCAUUAUAUAUAUGCAUGAGUUUUUCAAUUUAUACUUAUAUUUUUUAUAUACAAAAAUACAUUGAAAAAUGUUUUUUAUAUAAAUAUAUAUAUUUAAAAUAUCUAACAAGCAACAAAUCACGAGUAAAAUAACCGGCUAUAAAAACAAAUGCAGCUUUUAGGGAGAAAAAAACUAUAACAUGUAAUAAUUUUAUUUAGUAUAUUUAAUGCUAUGUAAUUCAAAAAAAUUAAUUGCAACAGGCAUAGUUUUGAAACCCAACCCGGUGGUCGACCCGGUCUAAUGAUCAGGUCACGGGUCAGUUUGGUUGACCCGGGUCAACCAAAAAAAAAAACCAAUACAACACCUAUAGAAAACACCUAACUAGUUACAAUGCAACACUUAUAUAAACCAAAUUUAAAUUUUAAACCAACAACAUAAAUUUAAUUCAAUAUCCAAAACACAAACCAAAUAUAAAUUCUAAAAUAUUUAAAACAAAACAUCUAAAAACAUAAAUUCUAAAUCAACAACACAUUCACUUUUAUUGAAUGAACACAUUAAGUUUUUCUGUGUUCAUGGGAGCAAAAUUUGAAUUAAAUGUCGAUGGAAUUGAGCCAAUCUCGUCAACACCUAAUAAAUCAUCAGCAUGCUCUUUUGAAACUUCAUCGUCACAAUCAUCUUCAAUCUCAUUAAUAUUUAUGACAUCUACAUUUCAAACACAAUUAACAAAUAAAUAUUAUGUGUUAAACAAUACUUUAUUUUCAAUAAUAUUUAUCACUAAAUAAUCAAUCAUUAAUUACCAUCAUCUAAAGUAUCUUGUAUGGUCAUUGUUGAUAGAGCAUGGUGAAAACUCUCUGUUUCUUCAGUUGUCAAAAUUGACGGGUCAUCUUCUAUUACCCAAUUUUCAAUGUCACAAAUUGUCUCAAAAUUAAUUGGAUCAUAAUUUCAUCCUUUCCAAUAAUUCCUAUAUAUUAAAAGUGAAGGUAAACACAAUAUAAGUAUUAAUAAUGCUACUAAAUAAGAUAAAAUAAUAUUUAAGGAAUUAGAGAAAAGAAAAAUAGUUUUGUUUCAAUCUUAGAUUGCAGCGGACGUAAACAAGGUCAUUAAGCCUUUAAUGCUCCAAUCUAUUUCUCUUCUUAGAGUAAAUAUGUUCUAACAUACUCCAAUUUCUCUCGCAUCCCAAAGAACUACAAGUUUGACUUAACACUCGUAUAACCAAAAGUUAUAGAUUUGAAGCACUGGUUCCAUAUGUCAUCCACCAUUCAUCUAUACAAAAAAAAUAACAAGUAAGACUGUCAAAUAAUAUUUUUAAAUAUAAAAAUUAUAUACCUGGAGGCAUAAAGGUGCGAUUAUUUAUUGCGGACGCUCGACCAAAGUCAUGUUUAGCAUUCCUAAACAACUUCAUCUCACUUGUAAUCUUACUUUGCAAUGGUAGAUUUCCAUGUGCAUAUUUCUCAAGAACAUCAAGAAGUCCAGAAAUGAUGCUCAUAUGUUUAUCCAUUAUAUUUGCAUCAUAUUGAAAUUGAGGAUUCAACCAAAAUGCCACAGCAUAAAGAUUUCUAUAUAGUUGUCCAUCCCACCGAUUAUUGAUAAUGUCUAUGAAAGGUUUCACUUUAGCCUUUCUCUUUUGAAAUCUCCUUAACAUUUCUUCUUUUGCAUGAUGAAUAUCAUCAUACAAAUAUCCCAUCGAAGGUCUAUCAUCACCAUCAACCAUUCGUAGAACUCGAACUAAAGGUUCACUCAUUCGCAUAAUUAUUGCACAUUCUUCCAAAAACAGAGAGUCUAACACACUUUCAACAAACUUUUUUCCUUUGCUAUAUUUAGCAUAAGCAGAUGAGACCCAUUCCCUAGAUGUCACCAUAGCUCUCAACUCAUUUUUAUGAGCUAAAAUGCUUUACAAUGCAAUGAAAUUGGUAGCAAAACGAGUAGGAGUUGGAUGAAGUAUUUCUUUUCCUCCAGUGAACUUCCUUGUCAAAUAUAAUGGAUAACAAUGAUUAUAAAUGUACUUUAUGAUACCAGAAGCAUGCUCAACAACAGAACAAACUGACUGCAAUUUACCAAUGUCCUGAAGUAUGAGGUUGAUACAAUGAGCAGCACAAGGAGACCAAAAUAUUAAAGGAAAUUCUUCCAUCAAUAACUUGCUAGCAACAACAUAAUUUGCAGCAUUAUCAGUCAUCAUAUGCACAAUGUUUUCUACCCCAACAUACAAAACAACCUCUCUAAACAACUGAUGCAACAAUCUAGCAGUCUUUAAGACAUCUGAUACAUCCACAGUUUUUAAAAAAUUGUUCCUUUAAGACAAUAUACUAAGAAGUUAAUUAAAGUCCUCCUCUUCUGAUCUGUCCAUCCAUCAGUCAUUAAUGUGUAACCAGUCUUCUUCCAAAUCUCUCGAUAACUCUUAACAUAAAUCUUCACUUCAUCAACCGCUUUUGCCAAAUAAUAACCACGAAUAACAUGCAAGUUUGGUCCUUUAUAACCAGGACCCAUGGUUGUUACAACAUCUAUGGCAUGCUAAUAAUAGACAGAGUUAACAGCAUUAAAUGGCACACAUGCAUCAAUCAUCCACUUCGAUAAAGCAAGAUCACACCAUUUAACCGCUUCCUUCCUUUGCCAAUAAUUUUGAAGAGACUUUUGAGCACCAGGAGUUGUUCUCGGCAUGAAAUAUGUCCCUAAUGUUGUAGAUUUCUUCUGCUUUCCAUAACUUGUAGUUGAUUGUUUUACAGUGCUGGUGCUUUGAAUUUUUUUCUUUUUUGCAACCUUCGGCGGGAACAUAUGUUUUUUAGUAUUGACAUCCUCACCAUCCUCACCAUCAUCAUCAUCUUCUAAUUGCCUAAUCAUCAUCUCUUCAUGCUCUCUUUGUUGUGCAUUAAAUGGAUUAAAAUCUGCUUGCAUUUCUCUAACUCUUUUUUUUUUCAACAUUUCCUUUAAAAUUCAAAAGCAUUUGAUGUUGAACAUCAGGAGGACAUUUGCGACAUUGAUCAACUUCUCCUUUAGCUCCAGUUAAAUGUUGCUUAAAUCGAUUAAUGCCACCACCCGCAAAUACUUUAGCACAAUAUAAACAUACUAAUUUAGUUUUUUUACAUCCAACACUAAGUUCAGGAGCUUCUCUACAAUGACCCCAUGCCAAAUCUGUUCUUCCUCUACUACCACUUGAUAUGGAAAUUGAAGGUUGAGAUGAUUGAGCCGUUGAUGGAUCACUACUUGGAGUACUACCAUCAUGUGAAGAUAUUUUAAGGACUUGAUAUAAUUUCUAAACACAGAACCAUAACGAACCUGACAAAAUAGAAAGUCGCAUCUGACUAUAAUAAAUAGAUAUACUAUGAUAGAAGAAACAUAUCCAGCAGUUAGAACUACAAGAUAAUUUAUUCUAAAGAUUUGGGAAAACAUGCUUCUCACUCUCCCUGUUUCUACCAGAAAAUCAAAGAAUUUAGUCUUAUCAUACAAGAAAAAGACAUUAUGUGACAUUUUGUGCCAGAUAUAUUUCCAUAGGCAUUGAAUUUGGAAGCCAAGCUUAGGCAACUUGGCAAAAAUCAAUAAUUGAAGGUGCUUAAAGUUCAGGUCACUAGACAAUUAAGGACACAACAAGGAAGAACUAUAAACAUAUUUUAAAAAAAUACAGAAACAGAGAAAUAUCAUAAAACAAAUUUAAACAAUUCUUAUCGUUACAAAGUGCAUAAGUUGCCAGUAACAAGUAACCUAAUUUCAUAAACCAAUUUUACAGUUAUGCAUCUUGCUUGUGAAGACUGUCUAUCUAACCACUCCAUCUGGGAUAUCCAUUUCUCAUUCUAACCAUAGAAAAGGAAGGCAAAAGGGUGCAUCAGGCUUCACACAUUCAUUCAAUGUUUCAUAUGGUUGAGAUCAAGAUAAAUAUGGUUCCAAAACAAAAUAAGACAAAUAUAGUUCAAGGACAUCAUACCAUGCACAAUGUCUUACAUAAUCCAUUACUUCUUCAUGGUAUUCAUUACGAGCUUCUUUCAGGCGUCUUAAUUUCUCACAACAAGCACGUUCUCUUAUUUGUUUGUCAGUUUCUUCACUACUUCAUAAUCCAUUUUCUACACGUCUUCAUUGCUUCAAUAAACUAUGAAGUAGUACUGAGGAGUUUCUAAUAUGCAGCUUACGAAAAAAUAACUGAAAUAAAUCAAGAAAAAUAAGGCAGAGGCUUUAUUAAAUGGCAGAAAAGAAAAGAACAGAGAAACAUACUUGUGGGUGUGAACUGCGAAUCGAUGCCAGAUCAAGAACUGCAAGUUCAAAAAAAGGCAAAGAAUAAAGAAAAGAGAGAGUGAAAGAAGGAGAUUCAUGAAGAGAAACAAGAGUCUAACCUUAUUCGCAGAUUUGAAACAGUGAUCAAGAGUCUUCUGCUCCUCUGCUCUUCGCGAUUGAAAUUGCUUUUUCUUUAAUUAUGUUUUCUCUCUGUCUACAAUUCUGCAUCGUUCAUCUUCAUCGGUUUAGUCUUUUAAAAGGCCAAAACGAGGUCGUUUCAUGUCUAUAUAUAUAUAUAGAGGCCGGGUCUUAGUUGAGUUUACCCAGGUCGCUGACUCGAAGCCCAACUCGAGCCAUAUUUUACUUUAAAAUACUAUGUUUUUUAAACUUAAACGACAUAGUUUUUUUUUUCCUAAAAAAACCAUAGCUUUAAUUGACUUGUUAAUCUACAUGUCAACCCGUGACCCAGGUUUUUGGCUGGGUUGACCCCUGAAUUCGGUUUACUUAUGGUUUCUAUUAGAUUAGAGACUGAAAUGUUUUUCUAUCUACAUACUUAAUUUAAGAUUUAACGAUAAUUUGAGAGGAAAUAUGUUAUUUGGGAAAAAAAAGCCAAAUUAAUAAUCAAGAAUCCACCCACUCGUUCCAAUUUUUAUCCACCGACGAUGUUAAAAGGCAUUAACAGAAAAGCUAAAUCAUGUGGUAAAAAUCAUGUUCAUCAAGACUCAUGAGACUGUGGAUUGGAACAGUCCCUUAGGACAUAGACUCAUUUAUUUUAUUAUUAUUCUUUUAUAGAUUAGUACCCAUAUUACUAUUUACCUAGACACAAUUCAUUGUGGAUUGGAGCAAUGUAAUAAUAGAGUUGUCCUUACCAUAAAGAGUUGCAAAGACUGCAGGGGGAUUGGGGUUGUCUUUUCACUGGGAUGCAUUUGGCAUUGAAUGGAUGGUUGGAGAGAAAAUGGUCAAUUUCGAUUUUGGUGGGGCUUGGUAAGGCUACAAACCCCAGGCUGCAGACACCUAGCGGCAGGCUUGUGCUUAGGGCUCGGAAGCCCUGGGCACUUGACUAGAGUCGUGCGCCAUGUUGGGUUGUAGACCUAUUCGUUUGGGUCUGCAUUCUUAGGUGUUAGGGCCGAUCGCGCACAUGGCUGCAGAACCAGGUGAGCGCGUCUGCAGACCCGCGUGCCUUUGUUUGCAGGUCACACAUCUCGAUGGCAGACCCGAGCGUCUGGGUCUAGUGACUGCGUGCAUGACCCAAGAGAAUUGAGUCCUAACAAGGACCCAUUAGCUUUGGGGCUUGACAUAGGACCCGUUAGCCUUAGGUCCUGACGCGUGAUUCAUUAGCCGUGAGUCAUAACCCCAGACCUAGGAGCAUUGGGUUCUAACGUCGGAACCAAAAGAAUUAUAAUAAAAAUUGUCAUAACUCAAUUUUGGACAAUAUGAAUGAAAAAAUGAAAUGAAUGAAAAAUUGAGGUUUUGACUCAAGACAACACAAAUUUAGCUUUGAGGGGUUAAUCAUGUUGGAUUUAUGACUUUGGAAGUUAAUGUUGAAAGAAAUGGAAAGAAUUUACUGGUAUGGGGUUCCAAUUAAACUUUGAUUGGGUUUAAUUAAUGAUAUCGGGAAUUUGAUUGAAGAAUGAAUAAGUUUAAGGAUUUAAUUAAGCUUAGAAUUAGUUUAAUUAAUGAAAUCAGGGGCAUAAUCGAAUCAAUAUUAAACUUCUGAGUUAAUUAAGGACAAAAUUACAAGUGAUUAUGGUCCAGGGACCAUUUUGUAAAAGGCGCUGAAAUUCUGUCUAGGGGCCCGAUUAAAAUGUUGAAACUUGCAGGACCAAAUUGAGAAUGGUCAUUUUCAAUCCAAAACGCACCAUUUCAAGCAUGCGUUGUUUCUCUUCUUCUUCCUCGGACGCUGAAAGCCCGCCUGCAAAGAAGGAAUGGAAAUGUUAAAACACCGGCAUCCCAGUCCAACCAGAACUCAAUUUGCAAAGCUUAUCUUUGAGGCCUUAUCACGAUCCUGGGAAGAUAAGUAGCAUGACAGCCUAUAAAAGGCAGGGGAUCGCAAGAACAAGGGAUAGAGACCGAAAAAAAAAGGACCAGAAAACAGAGGAACAAAAAACCCAAAAGAAAAUGAGAACCCAGAACAAAUAAAAAACACAAGAGCAAGGGAAAUAAGAACAUUCUCCGGACAAGACCAUCACUUUCAUCUUCGUCUCCGCCUUCGCCAUCGUCAUUGCCGGGUAAGGCCUUCCUUUUCCCUUUGUUUAUGUGUCUCUAGUUGCAAAAGAAGAAAACAAGGCGAAGGUAAUUUAAUUACCUUCGCCCUGUGCAGCACACGCGUGGUUUGAACCACGCGUGCCUGUUGCCCAGCCGGAUCACUGGCUUAGGCCAGUGACCGCGCUAGGCCGGCUGAGUCUAACCCAUCCCAUGUGGGCUGGGCUAGACUCAACCCCCCUCCAUAAAAAAAGAAGGAGGAGUGGGCCGGGUCUAGACUUUACGCCCAGCCGGGCCAAAGUGUGUUUGCUAAAGUUGUGUUUUUGCCUUGGCCAUAAUUUUUAUGCUCAUUCUAGUUUGAUGUGUGGCCAAACGAGUCCCUUUUCGGCAUCAAAAAAUUCUAAAAAUAUUUGGGGGUCUUCGUUGAUUUAUUUGUGGCCCCUCGCACUUUAUUUUAUUUUUUUUCUUUGUGCUUGUAUUUUUUUGUUUUAGCUAUGUGCUCAACCUGUGGACUAUUAUUGUUGAAUGCAAAUAUGUCGCGCAAGGAUUUUUUUUUUCCAUCUGAAAAGGGUCAAUAAAAAUAAAGGAUAAACAAGAAAAAUGGCAUAAAAAAUUUCUUCUUCAAAUUUUUUUUUUUUACGAAAAUAUUCACUGACGCUAGAGUCAGGAGUAUCGCAUUUUUUUGGAUUUGCGCGAUAUUUACCAACGCCAGAGUUGGAAAUAUUCGUAGGAAUUGUUCACUGGCGCUAGAGUCAGGAACAUGAAAGGAAGGAUAAAAAAGAAAAAAGAGAACAAAUUCUUAGCAAUUUUAAACAAAACUAGCAAUGCAGUCUGCCUUAGGUAUGACGCUCAAGGGAUGAUAGCAUCUUCCCUUUUGCGUAACCAAUCCCGUAUCAUAGAAUCUCUAUUGACCAGUUUAGGGUUCCUAGUGACCAUAAUACUAGGUGGCGACUUCUUGAACAAGACAUUUUCCCCUAAAAGAACAAGAUGUCAGAUAUCUGUUCUUUUCCAAUCGAGUGUUAAUUUGUAAUCGAUCGCCGUGAUGUCCGAGUGUGACAAAAAUAAUAAUAUUUAUACCACAAAUAAUAAUAUUUUUGAUAUUAAUACUUUGAAUUAUAAUAAAAAUAAUAAUUUUAUACCAUAAAUAAUACUAUUUUUUAUAUUGAUACGUUCAAUUAUAAUAAAAAUAAUAAUAUUUAUAUCACAAACAAUACUAUUUUUAGUAUUAAUACUUUCAAUUAUAAUAAAAAUAAUAAUAUUUAUAACACAACUUACAAUAUAUAUAUAUAUAUAUAUAUAUAACACAAAUAAUACUAUUUUUAAUAUUUAUACGUUGAAUUAUAAGUUGUCCUUGCCACAUAGAGUUGCAAGAACACCAGAAGGGAGGGUGGGGUUAUCUUUUUCCUAGUAUGCACAUAGAAUUGAAGGGAUGGUUAGAGAGAAAAUAAUCAAUUCAAGUUUUGGUGGGGCUGUAGGCCCCGACAGUGUACACCUGGCAUUGGGGCAUGCAAGCCCUGGGCAUUUGGCCAGAGUUGUGCUCCACGUGGGGCUGCAGACACCUGGCACUAGGCUGCAGCGCUGGGCGCUAAGGCCAACUGGGCGCAUGGUUGCAGCUCCGGCAAGCGGGUUUGCUGACCCGCGUGCCCGGGGACUGCAAACUUGGUCUGCAAGCCGCGUGCUUGGGUGUGUAGACCUGCGACAUGACCUAACAUAAUUGAGUCCUGACAAUGAUCCAUUAGCCUAGGGGCCUGACGCAGGAUCCAUUAGUUGUGUGCCGUGACCCCAAACCUAGAAGCAUUGGGUCCUGACACCGGAUCCAAUAGUAUUGGGUCCUGACACAGGACCCAUAGCUACUGGGUCUUGACGCAGGACCCAACAGAAAAGCUAAAUCAUGUGGCAAAAGUCAUGUUCAUCAAGACUCAUGGGACUGUGGAUUGGAACAGACCCUUGGGACAGAGACACAUUUUUUUAUUAUUAUUAUUAUUAUUAUUAUUAUAGACUCAAUGACCUGUUGCUGUUUACCUAGACAUAAUUCACUGUGGAUUGAAGCAGUGUAAUAGCAGAGUUUCCCUUACCACAGAGAGUUGUAAAGAUUGCAGGGGGAGGGUGGGGUUGUCAUUUAUUGGGAUGCAUUUGGAAUUGAAUGGAUGGUUGGGGAGAAAAUGAUCAAUUUUGAUUUUGUUAGGGCAUGGUAAGGAUGCAGGCUGCAGACACCUGGCAUGAGGACGCGCCUGGGUCAAUAACCCGUGCCUGGGGCGCAGAAGCCCUGGGCGCUUGGCCAGAGUCAUGCGCCACGUGGGCUGCAGGCCACCUGACGCUAGAGCCAACCACGCAUAUGGCUACAGAACCAGGCGAGCGAGUCCGCAGACCCGAGCACCUGGAUCUGGAGACCGCGCGCACGACUCAAGAGAAUUUGGGUCCUGAUAAGGACCCAUUAGCUUUGGGGCCUAACGCAAGACCCAUUAACCAUGGGUCGUGCCCAUAGUUUUUAAACCUUACCCGGUGGUUGACCCAAUAUAAUGAGCUAGUCACGAGUUAGAUGGGUUGACCCGGGUUAACCCUAAAAAGAAGAAGCAUAUAGUUUAGUUAAAAUAUUGGUUAGCAACAGCCCUUAAGGAAUGCUAACAUGGCAAGAUUACAAAGCAAUGUCUUUUACUCAGUGUGUAAGUGAUGCAUAUUAUAAUUGUCCUUAAUUAAUCCCCUACUAUCCAUGGCACCCACGAGUACCACCAGGAGACCUUGAACAAUCUCAGGAUUGCUAUGCAAAACAUCAACAUCCUCUCUGCUGUCAUACUCGAUACCAAGGUCUCUGCUCUUUUUUCCAUCCCUCACUCUCCCAAUUAAUUACUCCUACUAGUAACCUAAAUUUUUAUUUAUUUUUUUAUUACUACUAAUCUUAAUCAUCGUAGUUCUUCUUUCUUUCUAUCCAUCCACCCUUCCAUCUACCACUCUCUACCUGCCUUUCUAAUAUGUAUUAUACGCAGUUGAUGAUGUAUUUUUCCUUGUCAAUUAAUUAGGCAUCUACAAUCACAUCAGUUUUAUUACUUGGUUUUCAUUGAUUAAAACCAUUUGGAUCUAAUCAUCUACUGAUUAUAAUCAUAGAUGAUUAGAUUCUCUCAAUCUGUUGUUAACAGGAACAAAAAAAAGGCAAGAAACAGAGCCAGAUUCAAGCAAAACUUAGGCAAGGAACACAAAAUGAUUGACAUAUAAACAGGGCAGAAAUAGGGCAAGGAACAGAAAUCUAUCUUACAUAAAUGAAAAGCCAGUGAAUUAAACAACCUAUCUUACAUCCAUGAAGAGAAACGAAACCAGUGAAGAACAGAAAUCUAAGAGAGAAGAAAAUCGAAGCGAAACAAAAAAUUAUCUCAUAUCAAAUCAGUGCUUUCAUAAACAAAAAACUAAAGAGAAACAAGUAACAACAGCUUCAUUUGACCUUGAUUUACAGAUCUUAACUAAAGACAACCAAAUCAAUAAAAGAAACAAACACCCUGCAAAAACAAAUUUAAAGUUUGUUGAGGGCCUCUUCUUGUUAUUCUAACCAAAAAAGAGACGGGGACUUACCUGGUAUGGCUUGCGUGUGCCUUAAAUUUCUCUAUAACUGAUAUGGCUAUGAACUUUGAAGAUUGAAGAGAUUAGGUUUUCUAAUUCUAUGAAUUGUGAUUAUGUCUUCACGUUGCAAUACAAAUGAUUUGGUUAAUUAAUAGUAAAAAGCUAAAGCCAAAAACGACCAGUUCUCAACUAGGUUAACCCGGGUCGACCAGGUUUUACCGGGCCAAAUCCCUUGCUGGUUUUUUCAUCAACUUGGCCCGGUUCCAGCCCCGAGUCCCGGGUCAACCUGCCGGAUCGGGUUUUAAAACUAUGGUCGUGCGUCAGGACCUAAGGGUAAGGGAUCCUACGUCAGGACCCAAUUCUCUUGGGUCCUGCUUUAGGACUCAAGGUUAAUGGGUCCUGCAUUUGGACCCAAGGGUAAGGGAUCAUGUGUCAGGACCCAAUUUUCUUGGGUCCUGUGUUAAGACCUAAAGGCAAUGGGUCUGGCAGGACCUAAUUCUCUUGGGCUUAGGUUUCUAAAUAUAAUUAUUUGUAUUAUAAAUAUUAUUAUUUUUAUUUUAAUUGAAAGUAUUAAUAUGAAAAAUAGUAUUAUUUAUGGUAUAAAUAUUAUUAUUUUUAUUAUAAUUAAUAGUAUUAAUAUUCAAAAUAUUAUCAUUUGUGUUAUAAAUAUUGUUAUUUUUAUUAUAAUUAAUAUUAUUAAUAAAAAAAUAAUAUAUUUGAAAAAAAAUUAUAUUAAUAUUGAAAAACAACCAUAGAUUUGAUUUGAAGAAUUAUUAUUAUUAUCAUCAUCAUCAUUAAUAAAUUUUAAGAAAACUAUUAUUACUAUCAAAGAAAAACCAUAAUUUUUUUAAAAAGAUUAAAAAUAUAAAAAUUUAGACAGACAACUUAAAUAUAAUAUUAUAAAUAUUAUUGUUGGAUUUGAUGUUGCAACCAGACUCAACGCUCUUGAGUCUGCCGUUGCAGCCAAACCCAAUGCUUUUUGGUCUUAAAUUUUUAUGAUAUUUUUUAUGAAAAUAAAAGGUGAGCCCGCGACAUAGUGCGGGCAUCUAAAUAAUGUAAAAUGUAUUAUAAAACCCAACCUGAAUGCUUAAUUGAAAUCUAACCCAAGAUAUAUAUUUGUAUAUACACACACUUCAAAUAUAUUUUUUCACUUUAUUUUAUUUGAAUAAUAAAUAAAAGUUGGAUAAUAAUAUUUUAUUUGAAUAUAUUUUAUUUUAUUUUUUCAAGAUAAUAAAUAUUUAAAAAAAAUACUGGAAUGAAAACAUGAUUGGUUGCAAAAUAACAUCCGGACUGAUUCUUUAAGAGAUUUUUACUGGAACUAAUUAAUCUUGUCUUGCACAGAACAGAUACAUCAAAAAAAGACUAAAAUGAGCAGGACAGCACUAUCGGAACUCUUAUCAGAGGCACUCGGAUUUCAUAGCGACUGAAUUGGUGGUCUGCCAUUAUUACCAGGCUUGUCCUGGACGGCUGAACCUGACUUGACGCUGGGUGCCGUCAACCACACACACAUUGAAAUAGACAUGCAUGUGAUAAUUUUAUUUACUAUAUUUAAUGCUACGUGAUUCAACAAAAUUAAUUGCAACAGGACAAUGGAAGAAAAAGGACAAACAAAAUUAAUUUAAUGCGAAUACUCUUCUAUGGUCAGAAAUAGAAGGGUCCCGUGGUGAAAGUGAUUACUGAGAUAAUUGACAAACGGACAGACAAAUGGAAAAGUCCACAACCUUGGAAAGCAGUCUUUCACCGGCUACCAUAUUUCUGGGUAAUGGCAAUAAUUGUCCCCCAAUUAUCACAUGAUUUUCAGCUUGGUCCCCAAACAAAAACAAUUCCCAUUUGGAUUUGUUAUCUAUCAAACAAUACCCAAUUAAGGUUAACUUGGUAGUUUUCAAAAUAGUUAUAAAACUUUUUUAGCUAAGUCAAUCUAGUGACUCGCUGAUUCGGAGUCCGACUGAAAUACUAUGUUUUUUAAACUUAAACGACAAUCUUUUUUUCUUCCUUAAAGAACCAUAGCUUUAAUUGACUUGUUAAUUUAUGUGUCUUCCUGUGACUCGGUCUUUGGCUGGGUUAACCCCUAAAUUGGGUAUAAUUAUGGUUUCCAAUAGAUUAGGGACUUGAUAUGACAUGUUUUUAUUUACAGAUUUAAUUUAAGAUUUAAUGAUAAUUUGGGGGGAAAUAUGUUAUUUGGGGGAAAAAACGGAAUUAAUAAUAAAAAAUCCAGCUAUUCAUUCUAAUUUUUAUCCACCGAUAGUACGUUAAAAGGCAUAUAAUAUAAUUUAGCUCAUCUUUUCUUAAAAAAUAAUCAGAAGUAAAAAUAGCAAUAUCAUAGUCAAUUACAUCAGAAAAGACCACAGGAAAAAUUUAAAAUAAUUCAUUUUAGCACAGCUUUUAACAUGGAAAGAAAAACAAAUUAUUUUUUUAUUAAAACAAUAUUGUUUUAUAAAGUUAAUCUAACCAAGUUUAGAAUAGAUUCUACAAGACUCUCGGAUUAUAUUUUUUCUGAAUUAAUUUAAAACUCAAUCACAAUGAGGUAAGGAUCAUAAAUUUAUCGAAUCAAUAAGACUUAACAUAUAUGCAUUUUUUAGUGUGUGAAAAAAUGUCAACAAGACUCCAUUUGGUAUUCAUUUUUCAUCACUCUAAUAUUUAUUACAGUGCAUAUGAUCGCUUAUUAUCACCUGCUUCUUGGCAUAUAGCCUUUCAUUCAAAUUGAGCUAACAAGCAUGCUAUCUGGCCCAGCCAAGUUUGCAUUGACUACCCUGCAGUUCAAUCUGAUCUCUCCUUCAGUUCCUGUCAGAGGGCUGAGAUUUCCCAUUCUUAUCAUGGACUCCACAAAGCUUUCAAAGAAAGCUGUUUGAUUAGCACUGAAAGCGUUAACAAGUGCAAUGAGAUCAUCUGCCCCAGGAGUUGAAAACAGUUCUUGAUCAGUCUGAAGCAGGCCUCGGUUACCUUGCAGAUUGGAGUAGUAGUUACUGUCAAAGACAUCAGGUGUUGUGGGAUCAAGAUCUGUUAUCACACUCUCAUUUCCACCUUGGGGACAUAAUUCCUGAAGAGCUGCUAGAAGAGUUGUGUCCAAUGAUGGGUCAGGAGCACCGGUGCUGCUGAAAUUAUACAAUCGAAAGUCGAACGUAGA
rnacentral:lncRNA from 1 species